ensembl:lncRNA
CCUUUACUUAAAAGCAUGAAGUCUGUUUACAAAGUAAGAAAUACUGAUACUACACUGUAAAAUUACUCUGAUCACAAGUAAAAUAUUCAGUAUAAUCAGUAAAGUAUCCUUAAAGCACUAAAAGUUGAAGUUGUCCAAUAAUUGUAGUGAAGUAAAAAGUAAAAUACUUUCUUCUGAGAUGUAGUGCAGUAGAAGAAGAAAGUAGCAUAAAAAGAAAAGUGCCAGUACCUCAAAUUUAUACUAAAGCACAGUACUUUAGGGAAUACACAUUUCAUCAUUAGUAUUCUUACAUUUAGGUGUUCCAGUGGACAUAUUUGCAUUCUGACCAAGUGUGCAUAUGUAUGACAGAAAUGAUCUCUGAAGCUACAUGCUAUAUGCAGUGGUCUGAACUUUUCAUAUUGAUGUAUUACAGGCUCUGCUGAUUUCAGCACAAAGAAAGAAGUCUUCCAUAGGGUCAUGGGUGUUCGAAGGCUUCAAGAGGAGAAGAAGAUCCUUGUGAAAGAAAUGAAGCAGCACUGGGAGUCUCCCAAAGCCCAUGCCAGGGUCUUGUCCGAGUUGCCUCAGCAUCAGAGUGAAGACGCCAUGCAAAGACAUCUCACAGAGAAAGCAACAAAGGGUCACACCUGCCUCAUCCUUCCAGUGGGAAAAGAUUCAGAGUCAGAUGCAAUGUAAAACAGGAAGAUGUGGUGCUCAUGAUCACAGUGCACCGUGUGCGACACAUGGUCACACAGAGCAUGUGGCUUUAAAAAGUGACUAACGUAUGUGCUCAUUGUCAGGAUUAAGUUGGAGAUGACAGUUGUAGUUUUUGUAUUAGGUUGUUGUUAUUUCUGCAUUUGGUUUUGAAAUGUUUCAUCACUUAUAUAAGGUUGGAUUUUUCUACUGGGUUGUGGGAAGUUCCUGGUCUUACAUCUUUACAACACAAACCACUGUCCUUUACUGUCUUAUCUUUGAUUCACGUUCAGUUCUGCAUCUUUUCAGGGAUUUUCUUUCCAGUUGAUCUUUACUGUUUGAUUAAUAAUUGUUCUUUAAUGUUUAAUUAAACAAAGGCACAAUGAAGCUACAUUUCUGAUUGAGUCCUUGGAUGUUACUACUGUUAGACUUAUUUUAUCUGAGCAAUUCCCACAUGCUUUCAGAGUACAUGAAUUCAGUAUAUGGCAAGAGGAGAGAUUCAGAGGAAGGACUAGUGAUAUGGGAUUUUCAGCAUCAAGUUUUCAAUAACAUGAACAGUUUUAAUGCAAUUAUAUAGUAUAACAUCCAACUUUACACAGGUUGAAUGAUUUAGCAAACCACAUUUCAUAGUGAUAUACUGUAUAUCAGAUGAACUAGCCAACGUCAAAACGUAUGUAACAUGUAAAGAAAAGACUCAAAGUAAAAGUAUCUCAAAUUUGUACUUAAUUACAGUACUUGAGUUAAAGCACUUUAUUACAUUCCACCACUGGUGACACAGAGACAUAUGCAAAGCACCCGGUAGAUUCAAAUGACUAUAAUUAGGACUAUGACCAAAUAAUAUAUAUAUAUAUAUAUUACCGCUCCCACACAGACACACGGCCAUGGGCCUGCAAUCUACAACUGCAUGACCAUAAAGUGGAUUUUUUUGGAGGAUGUGGUGGCAUAUUAGAGGUUUUGAGAGUGCUGCCUGUUGAAGAAUGCUCUUUAUUAUUAU